rnacentral:lncRNA from 1 species
AUGGCCACCCCCCAGCAGUGUCUGGGCUCUCCUGGCAGGUGUGAUGCUUCAGUACAUCUGUGGUCAGACCAUUGUCAAGCUUGUGAGGCCUCCUGUUUAGGUACACAGUAUGGAAGGUCGCUAUGCCAUGGCUCUUUAUUCUGCUGCAUCGAAACAGAAUAAGCUGGAGCAAGUAGAAAAGGAGCUGUUGAGAAUAGCACAAAUCCUAAAGGAACCCAAAGUGGCUGCUUCUAUUUUGAAUCCCUGUGUGAAGUGUUCCAUUAAAGUGAAAAGCCUAAAUGACAUCACAGCCAAAGAGACAUUCUCUCUCCAACCCUGAUCAAUUUGCUUGCUCAAUAUGGUUGCUUAAGCAAUACCCAAGGAGUCGUUUCUUCUUUUUCUAUCAUGAUGAGUGUCCACCGUGGAGAGGUACCUUGCACAGGGACCACUGCAUCUCCUUUAGAGGAAGCCACACUCUCUGAAUUAAAAACAGUCCUGAAGAGCUUCCUAAGUCAAAGCCAAGUAUUGAAAUUGGAGGGUAAGACUGAUCCGUCAAUCAUGGGUGGAAUGAUUGUGCGCAUUUGAGAGAAAUAUGUUGACAUGUCUGUUAAGACCAAGAUUCAGAAGCUGAGCAGGGCUAUGCGGGAGGUUGUCUAA